GCGGUCGUAGCUCAGCUGGAUAGAGCACCAGACUACGAAUCUGGGGGUCAGGGGUUCGAAUCCCUUCGACCGCGCCA
rnacentral:tRNA from 1 species